UACAGAGGGCGCGAGCGUUGUCCGGAAUCACUGGGCGUAAAGGGCGCGUAGGUGGCGCGGUCAGUCAACGGUGAAAGUUCGGGGCUCAACCCUGAAUCGGCCGUCGAUACUCCCGUGCUUGAGCACUGUAGAGGCAGAUGGAAUUCCGGGUGUAGCGGUGGAAUGCGUAGAGAUCCGGAAGAACACCAAUAGCGAAGGCAGCUCGCUGGGACGUUACUGACACUGAGGCGCGAAAGCGUGGGGAGCGAACAGG
rnacentral:rRNA from 1 species